AGGACGAACGCUGGCGGCGUGCUUAACACAUGCAAGUCGAACGAGGUGCUUCGGCACUUAGUGGCGAACGGGUGAGUAACACGUGAGCAACCUGCCCUUGGCUCUGGGAUAGCCUCCGGAAACGGGGAUUAAUACCGGACAUGACCUUCUCCUGCAUGGGGGAGGGUGGAAAGUUUUUCGGCCAGGGAGGGGCUCGCGGCCUAUCAGCUUGUUGGGGGGGUAACGGCCCACCAAGGCGACGACGGGUAGCCGGCCUGAGAGGGCGACCGGCCACACUGGGACUGAGACACGGCCCAGACUCCUACGGGAGGCAGCAGUGGGGAAUAUUGCACAAUGGGGGAAACCCUGAUGCAGCGACGCCGCGUGCGGGAUGAAGGCCUUCGGGUUGUAAACCGCUUUCACCGAGGGACGAAGCGAGAGUGACGGUACCUGGGGAAGAAGCGCCGGCUAACUACGUGCCAGCAGCCGC
rnacentral:rRNA from 1 species